rnacentral:rRNA from 1 species
UACGUAGGGGGCAAGCGUUGUUCGGAUUCAUUGGGCGUAAAGGGUGCGUAGGCGGCCCGGUAAGUCGGGUGUGAAAUCUCGGGGCUUAACUCCGAAACUGCAUUCGAUACUGCCGUGCUUGAGGACUGGAGAGGAGACUGGAAUUUACGGUGUAGCGGUGAAAUGCGUAGAUAUCGUAAGGAAGACCAGUGGCGAAGGCGGGUCUCUGGACAGUUCCUGACGCUGAGGCACGAAGGCCAGGGGAGCAAACGGG